UACGUAGGGACCAAGCGUUGUCCGGAAUCAUUGGGCGUAAAGCGCGUGUAGGCGGCCCGGUAAGUCCGUUGUAAAAGUCGAAGGCUCAACCUUCGAAAGCCGAUGGAUACUGCCGGGCUAGAGUACGGAAGAGGCGAGUAGAAUUCCUGGUGUAGCGGUGGAAUGCGCAGAUAUCAGGAGGAAUACCCAUAGCGAAGGCAGCUCGCUGGGACGUUACUGACGCUGAGGCGCGAAAGCGUGGGGAGCGAACAGG
rnacentral:rRNA from 1 species